UGGGGGAGCACAGGAUCCUGGGCUGUGUCGCCCGGUGCCCUGGGAUCCGGGCCCUGCGCUGCUGGAAUUGCGCUCCCCAGCAGUGACUCCCG
rnacentral:pre_miRNA from 1 species